rnacentral:rRNA from 1 species
CAAUAGCGUAUAUUAAAGUUGUUGCAGUUAAAAAGCUCGUAGUUGGAUUUCGGGGCCCCGGACGCUCGUUGCGUUGUCUGCUGGACUUGUCCUGUGGGCGCGUGGCGGUCGUCGGUCUCUGAGUCGGAUCGGUCCGCCGAGAGGCGUGCACUGACCGACGGCCCCUGUUGUCUCUCGGGUUGCCCGCCUGCACUUAACUGUUGCGGACGGGGAGUUCGGGACGUUUACUUUGAACAAAUUAGAGUGUUCCAAGCAGGCCGUUUGCUUUGAAUACAUUAGCAUGGAAUAAUGGAAUAGGGCUGCGUGGCCUGUCGUCUGACGGCGGGUCCUCGUGUCCUAUUUUGUUGGUUUUCGGGACCGCAGUCAUGGUCAAGAGGGACAGUUGGGGGCAUUCGUAUUCAGUUGUCAGAGGUGAAAUUCUUGGAUUUACGGAAGACGAACAACUGCGAAAGCAUUUGCCAAGGAUGUUUUCAUUAA